AGAGUGAACGCUGGCGGUAGGCCUAACACAUGCAAGUCGAACGGCAGCACGGUAAGAGCUUGCUCUUAUGGGUGGCGAGUGGCGGACGGGUGAGGAAUACAUCGGAAUCUACCUUUUGGUGGGGGAUAACGUAGGGAAACUUACGCUAAUACCGCAUACGCCCUUCGGGGGAAAGCCGGGGACCAGCAAUGGCCUGGCGCUGAUAGAUGAGCCGAUGUCGGAUUAGCUAGUUGGUGAGGUAAUGGCUCACCAGGGCGACGAUCCGUAGCUGGUCUGAGAGG
rnacentral:rRNA from 1 species